rnacentral:rRNA from 1 species
UACAGAGGUCCCAAGCGUUGUUCGGAUUCACUGGGCGUAAAGGGUGCGUAGGCGGUCGGGUAAGUCUGACGUGAAAUCUCCGAGCUUAACUCGGAAAGGUCAACUGAUACUGUGCGACUAGAGUGCGGAAGGGGCAACUGGAAUUCUUGGUGUAGCGGUGAAAUGCGUAGAUAUCUGGAGGAACACCGGUGGCGAAGGCGGCAUCCUGGACCGGUAUUGACGCUGAGGAGCGAAAGCCAGGGGAGCAAACAGG